GGUUCUAAAAUAAGUUUGUAGUGAAAAUAUAAUAGAACUAAAAGGACGCGGUAACCUUGACCGUGAUAAUGUAGCAUAAUCACUCGCCAUUUAAUUGGUGGAUAGUAUGAAUGGUUGAACGAAUAUCUCACUGUCUUAAAGAAAACUAAAAGAAAUUGACAUAAUAGUUAAGAUGCUAUUUUAAACUGUAAGACGAAAAGACCCUAUAGAGCUUAACUAUAAUCUCUAUUAAUAAAAUAAAUUACUAAUUUAUAAUUUAUAGAGGUUGGUAGUUUAGUUGGGGCGACUAUCUUUUAAAUACAACAAAGAUAAGCAAUAUUAAUAAAUAAUUUAUUGUAUAAUUAAUUUAUUUAACAAUUAUAAAAAUAGGCUAUAAUGACCCGUUAAUACUUCAUAAACAAAUUAACGAUCAAUUGAUAAAAGCUACCUUAGGGAUAACAGGAUAAUUUCAUUUUAGAGCUCCUAUCGAAAAUGAAGUUUGUCACCUCUAUGUUGAAUUAA
rnacentral:rRNA from 1 species